AGAGAGAAAUCCUGGCCAUAGAUUCGUCAUCCCUUUUAUUUUAUUUUAUUUUUUAUUUUAUCACCGCAAGGGCUUUAGCAGCUGCUUCACUAUAUUUAUCACUGGCUCAUACAUUUGCUUGCCCUUUUCGUUUUUCUGCUUGAAGGAAGCUAGAACUGGAGAGUUUCAGUGUUUUGAGUAGCGGAUUUAUGUCGGCUUGUUUUGAUUUGGCUUUGAUUGGGGCUCUGUUGAAGCUCUGCUUUAUUCCUUCUGCUUCAUCUACUCUUUGCGUUUGCUGUGGUUCUCUCUGUUAUAUGCUUCUCUGCUGUUUCCAGCAGAGUUUACAUCUGGGGUUUCCGGCUAUUUCGAUGCGUUUGAGAUCAAAACGGACUUGUUCUGGUGUCGAGUGUUUUGGGGGUUUUCACAUAAAGCGAUUCUUCUAUCUUUUCCUGUACUUGAGAGGGGCUCUCACUUGAUGCCACCGUGAUAAGCCGAGCUUUUUUCUUUAUUUCAUUUCUCCACAUAAUUUUCUUUUUAUUUUUUUCUGAAUUGAGGGUUUUGGCGAGUUUUAACCAAUCAGUUCCUGAUGUCUGAGCCUAGAAAACAACCUCUAAACCACAACAAGCCCCGCAAAAAAGUCACUGAUACUAAAUCAAUCUUGCCGGAAGAGUUGAGAAUGGAGUCCAAAAUGAGAAAAAUUCGUGUCAUUUACCAUGAUCCUUAUGCGACUGAUUCUGAUUCAAGUGAUGAUGAAUCAGAGAUAAAUGUUAUGAGAUCAUAUAAAUCAAAACGAUUCGUGCACGAAAUUAAUCUUCCUUCCAUUGUUUUUCCUCGGUCAAACCCCAUCGAGCCUGAGAGUUCCUGUCAAGACAGUAACAACAGUGGCAAAAUCCCCAACAAGAGGAGAAGAGUUUUGGGUAAAACUACGUCCUCUACGGCUACUGCAGCAAAAGAAACAACUGGAACAAAAGUAGCACCGAAGAAACCUGUAGGUGUUAGGCAAAGGAAGUGGGGUAAGUGGGCAGCAGAAAUUAGGAAUCCUGUCACCAAAGUCAGGACUUGGUUGGGUACUUACAAUACUCUUGAAGAGGCUGCGCAGGCCUACGAGGCAAAGAAGCGGGAGUAUGAUGCUAUGACUAUGGCAGCCUCUGAGAAGAGCCACAAUAUUUCUACUUCUGUAGCAGCCUCUCAGUCGCAGAACAUCAACAAGAGCAACACUAACCAUAAUUGUUCUGUUUCCUCAGAUGACACUGGCAGUGUGUUAUCACAUACUUCUCCAUCUUCGGUUCUGGAAUUGGAUACUUCUGUUGUGUCAAAUCUUAAUGGUGACUCUAGUGAUUUGAUCAAAGAAGGUGGUUUUGAUACAGACGUUGCAGAUCUUGAGUUAUCCGAUUUGGGUUUUAUGAAUGAGCCACUGGGGUCUUGCCCAGGUGACGAAGAUCUUAACUUGGGUUUGGAGUUUGGUAACCUCAUUGAUGAUUUCGGGCAACUUUAUGAUGAGUUUUGUGCCAUUGAAGAUCUGGAAAUUUGCAGGAUAGACAGUGAUGAACCAAGUGAGCUCCCUGAUUAUGAUUUUGAGUUUGGCAAUGAGGAAUUUGCUUAUUUGGAUGAUCAUCAUCAUCAUCAACAGCACCAACUACCCCUAAAUAUUGCAUGCCCAUAAGUUUUGCAGCUAGGAAUUUUACUUGUGUUAGUAGUAGCUCAUAUUUAAGUAAUAUUAUAAGCAAGAAACACAUCUUAGAAACUGAAGAUGGGUUCUUGAGAUAUUGUGAGUUUUUAUUUAUUUGUUUGUUAUAAAAUUGGGAGGUAGGGAUGAGCUCUUGUUUUGCAGGGAAAGAGUCCUUUGGGUUUUCGUGUGCUAUUAGAGCCGUCCAAGGGAUUCUAAAGCGUCUUGAGGGUGUUCAAUGAUAUGCUGGAUUUUGAGAGUUAUGGUUAUAUUUCCCUUCUUUCUCUUGUUUCUGAAUUGAGAUAUGAAAUGAGAUGAGACUCUUGUGUUUUGCACUA